AGGUAACGUGCUGGAGGGAUAACUUUUUCCUUUCUUAAGUGUAAAAUCCUUUUGUCAUCUGGGUGACCAUAGGCUGGACUCACUGGAGUAAAUUAGGGACUCCAUGGCACCAGGGAGCUGAGAGCUGAGCACAGCGUUCCAGGUGCAGCUGAGUUCAAGCUUGAGCCUGCUGGCUGCACACCUCUAAACGCAUCCCAGGAUGUGGUGAUUAACUUUGAAACAGUAAAAGAGAUGGAAGAAGAAACCCUGAAAGUGCCAUGGUGGCUGAAGAUACGUGCCUUAGGAGACACUGAGAACAUCUGAGUGAGAAAGCAAGAGUAUAGAGGGAGAGAAGGAGAAAGGAAGGAAAGCAGGACAGAAAGACACACAGAUCGUCUACAGAUGAGAAGGAUCAGGCUAUGAAGAAAUAAUGGUGGGAAGGUACAGAACAGGGCUGGAGCCUUGAGGCACACAAAGA